GUGGGAGUAGCUCAGGUGGUUAGAGCACCAGGUUGUGGCCCUGGGGGCCGCGGGUUCGAGUCCCGUCUUCCACC
rnacentral:tRNA from 1 species